rnacentral:rRNA from 1 species
GUCGAGGAUCUUCGGCAAUGGGCGCAAGCCUGACCGAGCGACGCCGCGUGCGCGACGAAGGCCUUCGGGUUGUAAAGCGCUGUCGAGGGGGAGGAAAGCUGCAAGGCUUGACCUAUCCCUGGAGGAAGGACGGGCUAAGUUCGUGCCAGCAGCCGCGGUAAGACGAACCGUCCUAACGUUGUUCGGAAUCACUGGGCUUAAAGGGCGCGUAGGCGGCCUGCCAAGUCAGGGGUGAAAUCUUUCGGCUUAACCGGAAAACUGCUUCUGAUACUGGCGGGCUCGAGGGAGGUAGGGGCAGAUGGAACUUCGGGUGGAGCGGUGAAAUGUGUAGAUAUCCGAAGGAACGCCGGUGGCGAAAGCGAUCUGCUGGACCUCUUCUGACGCUGAGGCGCGAAAGCCAGGGGAGCAAACGGGAUUAGAUACCCCGGUAGUCC